GACGAACGCUGGCGGCGUGCUUAACACAUGCAAGUCGAACGGAAAGGCUCCAGCUUGCUGGAGUACUCGAGUGGCGAACGGGUGAGUAACACGUGGGUAAUCUGCCCUGCACUCUGGGAUAAGCCUGGGAAACUGGGUCUAAUACUGGAUAUGACCUUUCUCCUUAUGGGGUUUGGUGGAAAGUUUUUCGGUGUAGGAUGAGCCCGCGGCCUAUCAGCUUAUUGGUGGGGUGAUGGCCUACCAAGGCGACGACGGGUAGCCGGCCUGAGAGGGUGAUCGGCCACAUUGGGACUGAGAUACGGCCCAGACUCCUACGGGAGGCAGCAGUGGGGAAUAUUGCACAAUGGGCGGAAGCCUGAUGCAGCGACGCCGCGUGAGGGAUGACGGCCUUCGGGUUGUAAACCUCUUUCAGCAGGGACGAAGCGUAAGUGACGGUACCUGCAGAAGAAACACCGGCUAACUAUGU
rnacentral:rRNA from 1 species